GCGUAACGGAGGAGCACGAAGGUUAGCUAAUCCUGGUCGGACAUCAGGAGGUUAGUGCAAUGGCAUAAGCUAGCUUGACUGCGAGCGUGACGGCGCGAGCAGGUGCGAAAGCAGGUCAUAGUGAUCCGGUGGUUCUGAAUGGAAGGGCCAUCGCUCAACGGAUAAAAGGUACUCCGGGGAUAACAGGCUGAUACCGCCCAAGAGUUCAUAUCGACGGCGGUGUUUGGCACCUCGAUGUCGGCUCAUCACAUCCUGGGGCUGAAGUAGGUCCCAAGGGUAUGGCUGUUCGCCAUUUAAAGUGGUACGCGAGCUGGGUUUAGAACGUCGUGAGACAGUUCGGUCCCUAUCUGCCGUGGGCGCUGGAGAAUUGAGGGGGGCUGCUCCUAGUACGAGAGGACCGGAGUGGACGCAUCACUGGUGUUCGGGUUGUCAUGCCAAUGGCACUGCCCGGUAGCUAAAUGCGGAAGAGAUAAGUGCUGAAAGCAUCUAAGCACGAAACUUGCCCCGAGAUGAGUUCUCCCUGAGACUU
rnacentral:rRNA from 1 species